rnacentral:rRNA from 1 species
GUGGGGAAUCUUGCGCAAUGGGCGAAAGCCUGACGCAGCCAUGCCGCGUGAAUGAUGAAGGUCUUAGGAUUGUAAAAUUCUUUCACCGGGGACGAUAAUGACGGUACCCGGAGAAGAAGCCCCGGCUAACUCCGUGCCAGCAGCCGCGGUAAUACGGAGGGUGCGAGCGUUGUCCGGAUUUAUUGGGUUUAAAGGGUGCGUAGGCUGGAAGGUCAGUCAGCGGUGAAAAGCUGUCGCUUAACGAUAGUCUUGCCGCAGAUACUUCCUUUCUUGGAUGCGGAGGAGGCCACUGGAACGGAUGGUGUAGCGGUGAAAUGCAUAGAUAUCAUCCAGAACACCGAUUGCGAAGGCAGGUGGCUGUACCUUAAUCGACGCUGAUGCACGAAAGCAUGGGGAGCAAACAGGAUUAGAAACCCCAGUAGUCC